UCUCCAGCUGGCAUGUCUAAGCAGCUUUUCUCCCUCAGUUUCUAUCAGUUAGCAGAGUGUUGCCCUGUGGACAACUCUGUGGAAGAUUCCUGCGUACUGCGUGGGAGAUGGAGGCCUCAGAGCCCCAGAUGCUGCACGAGGUCGGACUGGGCUCGCGCCUGUCGCUACAAAGGGACCGCUGCACAUGGCAGGCCAGCAGAUGCCAACAGACAGCUUUUACAUUGUGUUAGACAGAACACCAUUUUCUGGUUACAAACGGCCAUCGGUACAUUACUUCCCCCCUUGGAACCUCAUGAAUGCAGUGAAAUUAACCAAACAUGAGAAGGAAGAGGUGACUGGAGAGAGAGCAAGAACGACAGAGAACCGACUUUCCAAACUAGAUACUCAGCCAGCGGGGAUUGGCUUUGCCUUAGCCAAUCAGAGAGGCAAAGAUCAGGAAGACCCAGAUGCACACCAGAAAAGCCUGCAUUGGCUCAGAAAUUCAAAAGAUCGGCUGCAGAGUCACUGGGGAAGAGCGGAUGCUGCAAAAAGGACGCCCCACCCCCACCCCACCCCACCCCACUGUAUUUCUCCACUUGUCUCCGAUCAGAGAAACAAAUCCACGCCUCUCCAAGCAGAAAGGGUGAACCAUAUAGACCCUGAUUGGGGGAAUACGUGUUCCCUUUCAGUAAGAUCUGAACUGGAAACUUAAAUGAAAAGUUGACACGGUGGCUCUUUCCGCCAUCUUGGCGCCUGUGGAGGCCUGCUGGGAACAGGACUAAUUGAACAAAAGCAGGUAUGGAAGGCUGUGGUGCAAGGCCAUUUUUGCUGGCUAGAAGCGAAGUCUCCGGAACCAAAGAGAGCACACGGCUCUUAAAACUGAAGGCGUCUAUGCCCGAAAUGAAACUGAGUUCAACUUAGGCAAGUGCUUCUGUACAUGCAGCAAAACAAACAAACAAAACAAAAAACCCAGAAAAACAAACAACAACAACAACAACAACAACAACAACAAGAACAAGAACAACAACAACAACACAGUGACUCCUGGAGGCAAAUCAAAUGAAACCAGAGUGAUCUGGGGGAAAGUAACUCGGGCCCACGGAAACAGUGGCAUGGUUCGUGCUAAAUUCUGAAGCAACCUUCCUGUAAAGGCAUUUGGACACAGACAGAAUCUGUGUGAUGCUGUUCCCAUCCCCGAUUCAAACUAAUGGAGAGUAAAUAAAUAAAAGUCGACUUGUACUCUUGUUUAAAAAAAGAAAAGGAAGAAAGGAAGGGAGGGAGGGAGGAAGAAAGAAAGACAGACAGACAGACAGACAGACAGACAGACAUUGACACAGUGAAGUAGACCUCAGCAGCAGCUGCCCAGUGAACCCACUCCAAGCUUCCAUCAGUCUUCUCAGGUCCAUCCCAUCCCAACACCACCCUAUUCCACCACCACCCCAGCUUUUAUGUUCCUCGUGGCUGCAGAAGGUCCAUUCACAUUUCCCUGGUUCUAAAACUAUCAUUCCUGAGAGUCACUGCUAAAAUGUCAUGGGCACAGGGAGGCCCACUCACUGACAGAUUCACUCAGGCAUACAGAAUGUCCAAGGAGCCUCUUGCACCACCGUCUUACCUAUGAAAAGACAGGGCCAUCAGUAAUUGGAAGCAGAUUUUUAUUAUGAAGAACAAAAUUGAAAACCGCAAAAGGAAGUCGGGGAAGACGGGGGCAACUCAAGGAAGAGGAAAACUGUAAAAACAAGAGAAGACAGCAUACUCACAAUAAAUAAAAAGCAUGGACAGCAAUGAAAAGGAGCUUGAGGGCCUAUAGUGUGAGAGCAGAACAGAGGGCUUAGAAAAACAGCUGAAGAGAUUUUGAAAUAAUGAAGGUAGAGGCUCCUGGUAUUAAUCAGAUCGUAGGAGCAGAGGCCUGUUGGACAGCGUCGGUGCCCUGAUGGAAGAAGCCUGGAGGCCACAACGAUGUAUACAGCUGUCUGUUAAAAAAGCAGAUAGGACUUCCUGACCCACAGACUAUGACAAAUACAUUUCUGUUGUUUGCAAGUGAACAAAAAAGGUAAAUUCAACAAGGUGGGUGCUCCUGUCCUGAACCUAGAGCAGCACUUCAGUUUUGCUUUGGGGUGAUUGUGUUUUUAAUUUCUUCUCUCUCAUUGUCUGCAGGUUUGGAAAGCCACAAGAGACAGGCAUGUUACUAAUUUCCAUGGCGCUAAACGAGCAACGUCAGACUGGUCUGAGGUGUGUGGGGCAAGAUCAGCUGUUCUUCAUCCUGGGCUAUCAUUGUCAGAUUUUAAUGUAUGCACGAACCACUUGGGCGUUGUUAAGAGGAAAAUCCUGGCUAAGCACACACUGUUAAUUACCUCAGUUGACACGAUGCUGCCGGUCCAUGGGUUAGGCUUUGGUUACCAAGGUUUCUAGAGAAUGACAGCAUAUCAGAAACCUUGUGUGAAGAUGCCCUCUAACAGUUUCUGGGCCAGAUUUAGGCUUAGCAAGCAAUUUCCACACAUGGAAACAAAAAUGGGUAAUGUUGCAACAGCGCUGAGGGUUUUACAUUUUAUUUUAAUGUGUGGUGUCUGUGCUCAUGAGUUCGAGGGUGUGUGCACAUGAAAACCUGAGAUCCUUAUCAGGUUUCUUCCUCAGUCGAUCUCUGCUCUCUCUCCCUGACCCCCCACCUCCACCUCCCAUUUGAGUCAGGGUCUGUCAUUGAACCUGGAGGUCAGUGAGUUCAGUUAGAUUGGCCGGCCACCAAGCCUGUAGGAUCUCCCUGUCUUCACCUCCCUAGUGCCUGGCUUUUUAUGUGUUUGCUCGGAUGUGGACUUGGUCUUCAGGUUUGCACAGCAAGCCCUUUACCUACUGAGUCAUUUUCCUAGCCCCAGUCCUAAAGGUUUAGCACAGGAACCUGACCGUCUCUUAGAGGCCAGUAUGAGCUGACUAGAGACCACCAAGUUAGAGACCCUGUCUGCCUGAGACAGGCACUUGUACUCACCUCUGGUUUAUGUUAGGCAGAAAUGGUGGCACUGGGUUGCCAAACUGUCCAAUUUAUGAGGCAAUGCAAAAUUAGGGUUCUAUGUGAAAUUCUCUGAUUUCUUUGUUUUCAAUUAAAAUUUUUCCUCAAGUGGUUUUCAAGCUAAACAAAACAAACCUGCAGGCCAGAUGUAAACUUUGGGGGUAUUUUUUCUCUUUCCCUGGUCCAAUAUUGUGCCAGAGCCUGAGAGAAACUAAGACCUAAGUCUUGCUGUUAGGAUGGGUUGGUUGGCUGGGUGUGGUGGAGCACACCCUUUGUCCUAGCUCUUGGGAGGCAGAGGCAGAAAGGUCUCUGUGAAUUCAAGGCCAUUCUACUGUACAUAGUAAUCUCCAGGAAGACCAGAACUCUAUUGUGAGACCCUAUCUCCACAGGGAGAGGAAAAAAAGAGAGAACCAGGUGGCUUUGCUGAGAACAGAAGAUAUUUGCACAUGUUUUUGUGUGAGAUUACAAGUAGAAAUGCAAACCCAAUGAGGAAAAAAGAAAUGAAAGCCAUUUAUGGGGGCUGUGAAAUCAAACCCCAAUACGACUUCUGAUAUUAGCUGUCUCAGUUAGGGUUUUACUGCUAUGAACAGACACCACGACCAAUGCAAGUCUUAUAA
rnacentral:sRNA from 1 species